GCUAUAAUUGUCAGCUAAGUGGCGCACGGGUGAGUAAUGUAUAGAUAACCUGCCCUUAAGAAAGGAAUAACAGUUGGAAACGACUGCUAAUGCCCUAUAUGCCUUUAAUACAUAAGUAUGCAAGGGAAACGCUUUAGUGCUUAAGGAUGGGUCUGUAUGGUAUCAGCUUGUCGGUGAGGUAAUGGCUCACCAAGGCUAUGACGCCUAACUGGUUUGAGAGGAUGAUCAGUCACACUGGAACUGAGACACGGUCCAGACUCCUACGGGAGGCAGCAGUGGGGAAUAUUGCACAAUGGACGAAAGUCUGAUGCAGCAACGCCGCGUGGAGGAUGACACAUUUAGGUGCGUAAACUCCUUUUAUAUAGGAAGAUAAUGACGGUACUAUAUGAAUAAGCACCGGCUAACUCCGUGCCAGCAGCCGCGGUAAUACGGAGGGUGCAAGCGUUACUCGGAAUCACUGGGCGUAAAGAGCGUGUAGGCGGGUAUAUAAGUCAGAAGUGAAAUCCAAUAGCUCAACUAUUGAACUGCUUUUGAAACUGUAUACCUAGAAUGUGGGAGAGGUAGAUGGAAUUUCUGGUGUAGGGGUAAAAUCCGUAGAGAUCAGAAGGAAUACCGAUUGCGAAGGCGAUCUACUGGAACAUUAUUGACGCUGAGACGCGAAAGCGUGGGGAGCAAACAGGAUUAGAUACCCUGGUAGUCCACGCCCUAAACGAUGUACACUAGUUGUUGUGAGGCUCGACCUUGCAGUAAUGCAGUUAACACAUUAAGUGUACCGCCUGGGGGAGUACGGUCGCAAGAUUA
rnacentral:rRNA from 1 species